rnacentral:lncRNA from 1 species
CAAUUGUUGAAAUCGACGCCGGUGUUUGGAAGACUUCGUUGUCGUUUGGAUCAGUUAUGGUGAUGUCGUCGAUUUCAGCCAAAAGGAGAGAGAGUUAGUCUGUCAGUGAGAGGGGCAAUUGGAGGAAAAAUGAAAGUGUAGGCACUAUACACCAUCACAUGUUGUGUAAGAGAUGUGACUCCAAACGGUUGAAAAAUGAAUUAAUGGGGAAAAAGAAUGGCUACCAAACAGUCCCUAAAUAAUUUUUACGAUUAAAAUUAAGUUGUAUUAAUUGAAAUUUUUUAUAUUUUAUCAAACAAACAUGUACUGGAUUGAUUAACCAAUACAAAGAAUUUUCGCCUAAUCAAAAUUUUAAUUAAUAUCGUAAGUGAAUCUAUGAACCUGAUC